rnacentral:lncRNA from 1 species
UAUUCUAUUGGAUAUUAAUCAAUCUAUCGUAAGUUUUUUUUUUUUUUUCCACUUAAUUUUUAUUAAUGGGUCAAGAUCCAACUGGAACAAGCCCAACACAAAGAGACAAAGGCCCAACCAACGGGCUAAAAAAAACGGGCAACAACAACAGACCUCAGCAAAGGCCCAAGAAACAAAAGAGCCCAAGGGAAACCCGAUGACGAGACUUGGCGACGUGUUGAAACGAAGGUAUCGAGGGACACGUGCCAACCAAAGCCUCCACCACCUUCACCGACUGGAAACCCACCGCCGGAAGCUUAAUCGGCGAUCCACCGGAACAUACCGGAACAGGAACCCGUCUAAACAAUUCCGACGACCACUUUAAUGGAAGAUGGAGACACCAUAAUCCACAACGCCUAAGCCUUCAACGUCAGUACUCUGAUUAUAGGAAAGCAUCAAUCGACCGAAAUCGAGAGCAUAACCAAAGACAAUGAACAGCAACCGAGAGAAGACAGAAACGUCAAACGGAUCUACGCUUCAUAGAAAGGGUUCAAUUGAAACACAAUCAAUCCAAAACCUCCGAAAUCCAUUGGAGGAUGGACCGAGAAUCAAUUGAACAGAGAGGAGAAGUAGAUCAAACAAAGCCGGGAAAAACCCGGUGAGAAUCCGCCGUCGCCUUCGUGGAGAGCGCGACGCAGACGACCAAGCCGAAUAUCCAACACCGAGAGAACAGGCGCAGACAUCGGAGUCACAAGCCGGACGACCACCAGAAGGAUAAGCGCGCCGCCGGAGACAAAAGCCAACCGUUCUUACCGGAGGGGAAAGCAAGAACGUCGGAGUCAAAAUCCGGUCGGAUGAAACCGAAGCCGGGAGAACAAAACAUCAAGCUCUCUCACGCUCUAACCCAACUCAUACCUCUCUGAAAGAUUUUGUAUUGAUAAGAGAAGUAGAGAACGAGAGAAAAUUCUCUCACUGAAAGAGGAGAGAGAGCAGAUUCAAUCUAUCGUAAGUUAUUUCUUAGUGCCAAUAAAAUCGCACUCCUUCAGUUUUGUUAAUGUUUUU